rnacentral:rRNA from 1 species
UGCCAGCCGCCGCGGUAAUACGGAGGGUGCGAGCGUUAAUCGGAAUUACUGGGCGUAAAGCGCGCGUAGGCGGCUUAGUCAGUCGGAUGUGAAAGCCCCGGGCUUAACCUGGGAAUUGCAUUCGAUACUGCCGAGCUAGAGUAUGGGAGAGGGAAGUGGAAUUUCCGGUGUAGCGGUGAAAUGCGUAGAUAUCGGAAGGAACACCAGUGGCGAAGGCGGCUCACUGGGAUCUUUCUGACGCUGAGGCACGAAAGCUAGGGGAGCAAACAGGAUUAGAUA